rnacentral:lncRNA from 1 species
GGUCAAAACCGAAAGUCAAACUGUUGGCCAAACGUUUGACUUUCUGCACUACCUAAGGAAAAAGCAAUAAAAAGAUAUGAAAGAAUGCUCACUAAGGAUCCUUGCUAUCUUUUCAACAAGAAGACAAAGUCCCAAUGCUUGAGAGAGCUCCCAAGUCAGAUGUAGAGGAGAAGAAAUGAGAAUGAGCAAAGAACAAGUGAAUGGAGUGGCCUAUUUAUACUUGUUGGUGAUCAACAAGAUCAUGACAAGUGGUUUGUGCAAAGCCUUGGAGAGGUGGUAACUUG